AUGUGACAUGACACUGCGAGUGCCCUCUGACAGAUUUUCUAAGAACUUAUUGACUUGCCCUCAUAUUAUGCCUUUAAUAUCCGUAAAAUAUUAUUAAAAUAUUUAUUAUUAUUAAUCAUUUUUAUAUAAGCGCAAUUUGCAAAUAACGAAAACAUCUUGUUAGUUGCUGCAUCUUAAAGUGUUUAAAUAAUGUUUAAGUAACGAUAUAAUUUUAUAUACCUAUCCUAGUUCUACAACUGCGCGCCAAAAUUCAUUUUCAGUCUUUAAACGUAAUUUUAAACUAAACUAGGAGUAGUAGGAUAAUUUUACAAAUUAAAGUAAAUGUCAUUAUAAUAACUUAUACAAUACAGUAACAUGAGCCGGUUGUUCCAUCUUCAGAUAAACUACUGAGCACAAAAAGAAUUCAGUUAUGUCUUCAAUUUUAAGUUCAUUUUCAAAUGUAAAAAAAAUUCUUUUCAGAAUUGUUCAGAAAAAGAAUUCUUUUGUGUCUGAAAGUGAAUUCUAAAUUGACAUAACAACUGAAUUCUUUUUGAACUCUCUGUGCUAUUUGGUAUGUGAUAAUUUACCAAUUAGAUAAAUAAAAGAGUAAAAGAAUGAAAGCAUAAUUUAUCGAAAAGUCGGACAACCUAACUUAAGAAUGUUAUUUUUAAGGAUGAUUAUUUAGAGUACAGACUGCACCUUCGAUUUUGAUUAAAUUAGGCUCAUUCGACGCGUUUUUGCUCGAAACGAAAGAAUGCAAGAAAAACGUUAGGUCGGUCCCGCGUACCAAGAUAUUAAGCAUUAAAGUUAAUUACUAUUGAGGUUAGGAAAUCUGUUACAGAAGUAAAAUGAGUGUCUAGAAUUGUACUGGGUUUCGACUUUCGCGAAACGACUCUCACCCCUCCCCCCCCCCUGCAAAGGGAUGUAUGGCUUCUAUUAUAGGUGCGUUUGGCAUUGCAAAUCGGAGGCAUCAGUUUGCUCUUUUACCUCGAAAUUUAGCAACUCGCAUCUUUCUGCUACAUGUCAUCUGCAUUCGAUAUUAAUAUUUCUAGAGCCUUUAGGUUUUAGUCUAGAAUCUUUAGUCUAAAGUCUAGAAGUUUUAGUCAUCGUUUUGGCAUUUUGGGCAAUGCUAACGCCAGAGUGUUUUGGAAAGCUCUUAAGGUGUGCUAUAAGAAUAUGCAAUGGAUAAAAAAUGAGGUGUUCCAUUAAAAAAAAUCAAUCUUAACCUGACCUUGGUGACGUCACCCAAGAUCAAACUAGCGCCAGUAAAUAGAUCUUUAGAAAUCCUACAACUUUUGUUUGAACACUUUUUCGAUUGUGCCUUAUCCUGCGAAAAUAAAAGAAUGGUAUGGGUAGUCUGAAACACCCGGUA